AGCGGCUGCUAUACAUGCAGUCGAACGCUUCUUUUUCCACCGGAGCUUGCUCCACCGGAAAAAGAGGAGUGGCGAACGGGUGAGUAACACGUGGGUAACCUGCCCAUCAGAAGGGGAUAACACUUGGAAACAGGUGCUAAUACCGUAUAACAAUCAAAACCGCAUGGUUUUGAUUUGAAAGGCGCUUUCGGGUGUCGCUGAUGGAUGGACCCGCGGUGCAUUAGCUAGUUGGUGAGGUAACGGCUCACCAAGGCCACGAUGCAUAGCCGACCUGAGAGGGUGAUCGGCCACAUUGGGACUGAGACACGGCCCAAACUCCUACGGGAGGCAGCAGUAGGGAAUCUUCGGCAAUGGACGAAAGUCUGACCGAGCAACGCCGCGUGAGUGAAGAAGGUUUUCGGAUCGUAAAACUCUGUUGUUAGAGAAGAACAAGGAUGAGAGUAACUGUUCAUCCCUUGACGGUAUCUAACCAGAAAGCCACGGCUAACUACGUGCCAGCAGCCGCGGUAAUACGUAGGUGGCAAGCGUUGUCCGGAUUUAUUGGGCGUAAAGCGAGCGCAGGCGGUUUCUUAAGUCUGAUGUGAAAGCCCCCGGCUCAACCGGGGAGGGUCAUUGGAAACUGGGAGACUUGAGUGCAGAAGAGGAGAGUGGAAUUCCAUGUGUAGCGGUGAAAUGCGUAGAUAUAUGGAGGAACACCAGUGGCGAAGGCGGCUCUCUGGUCUGUAACUGACGCUGAGGCUCGAAAGCGUGGGGAGCAAACAGGAUUAGAUACCCUGGUAGUCCACGCCGUAAACGAUGAGUGCUAAGUGUUGGAGGGUUUCCGCCCUUCAGUGCUGCAGCUAACGCAUUAAGCACUCCGCCUGGGGAGUACGACCGCAAGGUUGAAUAGAAGUUUUUUUUUUUGGGGGGGA
rnacentral:rRNA from 1 species